GUCCCUGUGGCCCAACGGAUAAGGCGUGAGACUACGAAUCUCAAGAUUGCGGGUUCGAAUCCCGUCAGGGAUA
rnacentral:tRNA from 1 species